UCUCACUAUCUCAAAUUCAAAAUGUCUCGCCGCUGUGAAUAAAAAAACAGAUAAUCGAUCGGUUAGUUUUCUUUCCUUUCGUUGUUAGACAUGGAACACGCAAGUUUCUUCUCGGGACUUAUUUUUUUCAUCAGGUUAAUCUUGGGAUGUUCUCCAUCAUUUUGAUAUUUUAUUUCGUACCAAUGGAAGAUGAAUCACCAAUUUUUGGGAACAAAAGAUGUUCUCCAUGAUUUUGAUAUUUGAUUUCGUUCCCAAAGGAGAUGAAUCACCAAUUUAUUUUUGGGAGCAACAAUCAGAUUACAAGUAUGAUUUUGUGAGUCCCUGAACAAUCAAAUUUUCGUUCAAAUUUUUAUUCGUUAUUUGUAUCCAUUUUUUUUUAAAACUUGCUUCUCUGAUUCCUCAAGAUAAUAAUUUUGAUUCCUUAUGUGGGUGAACUUUUUUUUUUUUUUUUCUUCCAAUAGACAAAUCUACGGCUGUGGUGAAUCCUAUAACACUAAACUCAUUGAACUGUCAUUAAUUCAUUUGUCCAGAUUUCGUUUAACUCAUAUUGAUCUUCCUGAUUCUCUCUCGCUUCCUCAUUUUUAGAACCCGGUCAGUAAACUGAUUUAAAGGCUGGUUUGAGACACCAAACCCAUAGUUUUAAGGUUAGAAGGUGAAGAAGAUGAAUAAGAGUGUUCAUAUGGGUAAUGAUUUUGUUAUACAAACUGCUUUAUUUAAAGUUACCUUCAAUUUUUUAUUUUACUUAGGGUUUCUGGAACCGGUGGUUAUUUUUGAAUUUUUUGAUUUUACAUGUGAAUGGUAAUUCCUUUUUUUUUUUUUUCUUUUUGAAUCCUAACGUUUUUAGUUGUCGUCAUCCUCUUCCGAUUAAGUUCGGUAAAAACAUAUUUAUCAUAGAUUUGGCUUCAGAUCGACUCAGGAAUCAUCUCAGGAAGGAAUUGAUUAUGUCAAUGGAUUGUUGAAAUAUCGUUUGGCUAUUUAGAAAGAUAUGUGUUGUAGAGACGUGUUUCCUGCAAAACCUAAAUUGUCAGGCCUUGAAGAUUUCUAUGGUCUGUGGAAUCUGUUGUGCUGCAGUGUGGGUUAUAUUUGUUUAUGGAUUCAAAUUUUUUUGUUUACAUCAGGUCUCAUUUGUUUCAAACUCAUUUUCUUGAAGUUCUAAUGGAUGUUCUAUUGCUCUUUCAUUCAGCUUUCAUGCGUAAUAAUUAUUGUCUUGAUGUUUACUUUUUCCAUGUUUCAUAUCGUAGUUCAGGAUUAAACUCUCAUUCAAUGAGAGGAAUUUGGUUUACUAUUAACUGGAAUUCCCAUUCAUUGUAUUCCAUUUCCAAUUGAAUUAUUAGCACGAUAGAGCGUAUAGCAAACGGCGGAUAAGAAGUAGCAUAUUACAUGAUCUUAAUACAGUUGAUGGUCCUAGACCGUGUGAGAUUGAUGGUAUUGGUGAUGGUGAUGUUAUAGCUUGGAUAAUAAAGAUGGUUAUGAUUCGUCUUCUUAUCCUAGCGAGUCUUCUAGGAAACGGAUGAUAUAUCGAGUGCUGAUGGCAAUUUGGAUUCAAAAUGAGUAUAUGACUUUUUUAUUUUAUUUCUUUUCCAUCUUAGAUUCACUAAUGACUAAUUUUAGUUGUCUGCAAAGAUACGUGUUACCACUUGAAACUACAAGGGCACGGUUUUUACAGGUUAUAGGGAUAACUUAAUUACCGAGUCAGAGCAUGCAAUUAAAUUACUAGAAUGUUAUCGUGGCUACAGCGUGCAAUGUUAGAAAGAUAAAAAUUUUAAGAGGAAAUCAAGAGAAGCUCAAGGUGAUUCAAGGUUUGUAUUGCCACUGAGUUCACAGCAACGCCAAAUAUUUGAAUAAACUGGACAUAAAAAAACGUUUUUUACAUAGCUUAUUCAGUAUUCUGUUAAAGAUCAUAGUUUGGUUACUCUAAACCUGCAAUUCACCUAAGCUAUUCUGAUUCAUUGGCUUAUGCUUUAUUUCUAAGCAGUGUUGUAAAGAACUCUUUGACACAAAUGGUUUCGAAAGGCUUAUGAAUGCAAAAUAUAUAGUGAUUAUUUUCUUUGAACACAGAUUUAUUAGCUUACGGCAUCUUCGACUUUUGGUUUUAUCUUACUGUUUAUGUUUUCAGUGUAAGGGUUUCUUCUUAUUUCCCAUCUCAUUUGUUGUUGGAUUUCAAGUAUUCUAUUGUUUUUCAUUUUCAAUCAACGCUCUCUUUAAGAUUGUAAAGCUCAUGUCAAAUGAAUCAGCAUCUUUGGAGCUCCAAAUUUCUAUCUGCCGCCCUAUAAUAUUCUCAGAAUGGCUUCUAAGGUAUCUCUCCAUUUUGGCCAUUUCAUAUCUCCCAUUGUUGAACUGUAGAUGUGUGUAUCUAACUACAAGUUUUCAUCAUCGAUGCAAACCUUUUGCAGGUACGUACCAAUUAUCAAAAGUGUAGAAUUCGUGCUUAUGUCAAUGUCAUACUUCUGUAUGAAGCUAGGCUAUUCAUUUUUUUAUUUUAUGAUUAACUGAUCCUAGCUACAUUCCUUUUCAGAGAUAUGUCCGUUACUUCAAAAUUAGGGGUUGCUUUUAGAUCUCAAUGUUAAUCAAAUUGUAGCAUUUUCAUAUCUCUUAUAGGAUUGUACAUGGCAUGGUCAAUUCAUCUUGGCAUUAAGAUUAUGCACAAAUCACUUGGGGAUAUUCUGGAGAACCUCACCACUGACUGACGGCUGUAAUGGUUGUUAUUAAAUUAUUCUAAUCUUCUAUUUGGUUAAUUAUGAAAGGCUUCAUGAUACAGACUGGAGGUCCUCUGGGAGACAACGAUGGUGGGAGGUCUAUUUGGGGUGGGGAGUUUGAAGAUGAGUUAUACAAAAGGUAACUCUUAUUGCUGAUUUACAAUAGUCAGUUACAGAUUUAAUUUAGUUUACUUCUAGGAUCAUAUGAUUAUAAGCUUAUUAUGGCUAAGUUCUCUGUCAUUCCUCCCCAUCUCAGAUUGUUAUCAUUAUCUGUGCAUUCCAGCCUCAUGUUCUCAUUUGAUACGAAGAGCUUACAUACGAGGAAUGGUUAUUUUUUCUAAUUUGCGGCUAAAGGCAUGAUAGCCUUUUCACACUGUCCAUGGCUAAUUGAUGCGAAAAAAAGUACUAAUGACGCUCAGUUCUUUAUAACAUUGUAGCAACACCAUGGCUUGAAUAAUAAACACUCUAUAUUCGAUAGAGUUAUAAAAAGAAUGGACGUGGUGCAGGUAUUUUUUUUGUUUGAUCGGUCAAAUAGAAAUUUCAUUGAAAAAAGGCACUUAAGGGGGUACCUUAACCCAAUGAUUACAACCGAACAAAAAAGGGGAACUGAAAGGGGAUUCGCUACCCAAAUAAAAACCACAAAAAAAAAUUAUGACGGAGGCCGGUAUAAUGAAUCCCAUAGAGAAAUCACCAUAUUUGCCGGUACUUUUAUUUUUUUUAUCUUUACUAUUUCCAUGUAAUUCUCCUCAUGUACGUGUAAUCAUCAAGUUAAUUAGUGAUCCAUGAACGAAGUCUUGAUUCUUAACUGCUGCUUACUUAUACUACUCAUGUAUACAGGGCAGAAAAGAGGGUGAAGAAAGGCAAGCAAGACAAAAGCUACCCAAAUGCUAAAUUAUUAAAUAUGACUAUUCCCAAGUUUUGUAUUUUCUUUCUGGAACAAGUAAUCAUGACAUUUUCACCUAUUAUCGUAAAAAUCUUUCAUGACUUUUCAA